ACCUGAGCUCCGGUGCCUUCUGAGCUGAUAUCAGUUGUAGUAAAUCACUGGCUCAGUUCAGCAGGAACAGGAGUGUGGCC
rnacentral:pre_miRNA from 1 species